CAAUAGCGUAUAUUAAAGUUGUUGCAGUUAAAAAGCUCGUAGUUGGACUUCUGCGGGUGGCGGCCGGUCGUGCUCGAACCGGGCGUGAACUUGGCGUGCUGCCCGCAUCUUUGGGGAGAUUGUGCGUGGCAUUAAGUUGUCGUGCAUGGGAUUCUCAUCAUUUACUGUGAAAAAAUUAGAGUGUUUAAAGCAGGCCUUUGCCUUGAAUACAUUAGCAUGGAAUAAUAAGAUAGGACCGUUGUCUAUUUUGUUGGUUUACAGAUGUCGGUAAUGAUUAAUAGGGAUAGUUGGGGGUAUUCGUAUUCAGUUGUCAGAGGUGAAAUUCUUGGAUUUUCGGAAGACGCACGACUGCGAAANCANNNACCAAGGAUGUUUNCAUNAA
rnacentral:rRNA from 1 species